CUAUCCCAACCCUCUUGACUAUGUGUUGCUUGGCAUGGGGCAAGACUCCGAGGCGAUGCGAAAUGGCAAAUUUGAGGCCUGCACGGUGGUUCAGUUGGAUCGUAGCCUGAUCCAGAUCUGCUAUAAGGCACAUCAAGGCAGGCACGGAGUUGAUGUGGGAUUAUAACUAUGAGGUGGGCAGUGUGGAGGAGAAGGUUAUGCUCUGCUGCUGUGACUCAAUGCGGUGCAAAGGAAGACUGCUCUGAUCUGCCCCUUUCAACAUAAAACACUAAAGCUUGGUGUUCAACCUGUCAGAAAUGUAGGUGUGCCACUAUUCUGGAAGAGCAUCGCAAAAAUGUGACCCAUUGAAUAUGAUAAAAAGUGAGUCGAAUCCCAUGGUCUCACCAGCCAAUCCUUUAUUGUUGGAUGAGCAUUUUGAGCUUUCAGGAACAAUUGUAUGUUAUCCUGAUGUUUCCAAGCACUGCUGCAUCCUGAGAUUCUCUGAACAAAUGUCUUUGAGGAUGGUCAGCUCAGCUCUCAUACCCAGCAUGCAUCCUUUCAAAAGCUCCACCAAUUGGGUUUGUGGGGACACUGCAAAACCCCCAAACAUUUCUACAGAAAAACAUAUCCGAGCAAAGACAACCCUGAUACCGUGGAAGCAUUUGAAAUGGCUGGUCUAGAUGUGGCUGGGAGCCAGAUAUGUCAAGAAGUUCUUGCCUUGUCUCAGUUUCCCAACUUGUUGUUCUUCUGGCAGAUUUCUUUAAGUAAAAACCCAAGAAACAGCAGGACUGCAUUCCAAUUUGUUUACAAAAGCAGCCAAACAUUUAAAAGGGAAUUUGUGUCUCUAUGUAUUUGUCAUUAUGGCAUAAACCUUUAAAGCACAAUGGUUUCCAGUGAAAAACGAUGUUCAAUACCCUGGUUUGUUUUCAAAGCUUUCUGUGUUUCAAUGAUCUGUCAGCUUUGCUCUUAUCUUUAGAGAAACAGAAGCUUGGAAUGAAAAAUGUCUUUUUUUUCUUUUCUUUUCUUUCCUUUUUUGUACAUAUAUUGCUAAUUCUGUCUAUUACACUGUAAGCUGUACCAUCUAAGGAUUGCUAUAUAAAGUUUCAGAAAGUUUUGAAGGUG